UGCGCAGGCGGACUUUUAAGUGAGAUGUGAAAUACCCGGGCUCAACUUGGGUUCUGCAUUUCAAACUGGAAGUCUAGAGUGCAGGAGAGGAAAGCGGAAUUCCUAGUGUAGCGGUGAAAUGCGUAGAGAUUAGGAAGAACACCAGUGGCGAAGGCGGCUUUCUGGACUGUAACUGACGCUGAGGCUCGAAAGCGUGGGGAGCAAACAGGAUUAGAUACCCGUGUA
rnacentral:rRNA from 1 species